GACGGACGCUGGCGGCAUGCCUAACACAUGCAAGUCGAACGAGACCUUCGGGUCUAGUGGCGCACGGGUGCGUAACGCGUGGGAAUCUGCCCUUGGGUUCGGAAUGACUCGCCGAAAGGCGCGCUAAUACCGGAUGAUGUCGUAAGACCAAAGAUUUAUCGCCCAGGGAUGAGCCCGCGUAAGAUUAGGUAGUUGGUGAGGUAAAGGCCCACCAAGCCGACGAUCUUUAGCUGGUCUGAGAGGAUGAUCAGCCACACUGGGACUGAGACACGGCCCAG
rnacentral:rRNA from 1 species